UGUAGUGGGAGAUGCUGUGGUUGUAGUGGGAGCCACUGUGGUUGUAGUGGGAGCCGCUGUGGUUGUUGUGGGAGACGCAGUGGUUGUUGUGGGAGCCGCUGUGGUUGUUGUGGGAGUCGCUGUUGUUGUUGUGGGAGCUUCUGUAGUUGUUGUGAGGUAAGCUAUAGUUGUUGUGGGAGCCGCUGUGGUUGUAGUGGGAGCCACUGUGGUUGUAGUGGGAGCCGCUGUGGUUGUAGUGGGGGCGCUGUGGUUGUAGUGGGAGCAGCUGUGGUUGUAGUGGGAGCCACUGAGGUUGUAGUGGGAGCCGCUGUGGUUGUAGUGGGAGCCGCAGUGGUUGUAGUCGGAGCCGCUGUGGUUGUAGUGGGAGCCGCUGUGGUUGUUGUGGGAGCCGCUGUGGUUGUAGUGGGAGCCGCUGUGGUUGUAGUGGGAGCCGCUGUGGUUGUAGUGGGAGCCGCUGUGGUUGUAGUGGGAGUCACAGUGGUUGUAGUGGGAGCCGCUGUGGUUGUAGUGGGAGGCGCUGUGGUUGUAGUGGGAGCAGCUGUGGUUGUAGUGGGAGCCGCUGUGGUUGUAGUGGGAGCCGCUGUGGUUGUAGUGGGAGCCGCUGUGGUUGUAGUGGGAGCCGCUGUGGUUGUUGUGGGAGACGCUGUUGUUGUUGUGGGAGCCUCUGUAGUUGUUGUGAGGUAAGCUUUGGUUGUUGUGGGAGCCACUGUGGUUGUAGUGGGAGACUCUGUGGUUGUUGUGGGAGCCGCUGUGGUUGUAGUGGGAGCAGCUGUAGUUGUAGUGGGAGAUGCUGUGGUUGUAGUGGGAGCCGCUGUGGUUGUAGUGGGAGCCGCUGUGGUUGUAGUGGGAGCCGCUGUGGUUGUAGUGGGAGCCGCUGUGGUUGUUGUGGGAGACGAAGUGGUUGUUGUGGGAGCCGCUGUGGUUGUAGUGGG
ensembl:lncRNA